ACGUGCGCACACACAUAUACACACCUCUUUUUGGCAAGUGGUAUUCAGGAGUUGCAUAGAGGACAAAUCCAAAAGUGAUUGCCGUGUGAAAGGCCCUCCUCCUGCCUUGAGAGCACUUCUCCAGUUACGAGGUCACAGACAAUUAGAGAGAGAGAGGAUCAGACAGCUCCACUGUUGUCAUGGCACUGCAUGGCGACUCUCCUGCUCUGCAUGCAUACGCUCACAUGUGCACCACCGAGUCUAGCGAUAAUGAAAAUCCCCCUUCUGAGAGCUAUUUAAGAGUGACUCAAAUUUUCUUUAAUUACACACAAACACACCUAAUGCUAUGAAUGUCAGCACAGACGCACAUUCACACGAGAAUGCGCGCGCACCGAUACGUCUCGCUGACUGCAACUGCCGUCAGCUAACACCUUGCACUUCCUCUUUCCCUCCCCUCCCCGCGUCCUAGACAAACAGUGCCUCGGGCUUCGAGAGCAGACAUUUUUUUUGAAAGCGAGGAGCAGAAGGGCCUGCAGGGACAUGGGCUGACUCCAGAUCUUAUCGCCGCUACCAUCCCGUAUUAGGUUGACAGCAUAACAUCAGGAUGUAUUGGGACUGAGUCUGCCUCAAGAGUCAGUUUGUGAAACUUCUGACUUCCCUCUGCAAUAGACUCAAUGAUCCAUCCUGGGUGUACCCUACCUCUUGGCCUAUGACAGCUGGUAUAGCUUUCAACCCCCACUCAACCUUGAUUUGGAUAAGCAGCUUUCCGUGUCCGCAAGCGAGUAUGGUUCCGACCUCGAUGUGGGACGCGCGAUGAGUGGCUCCAUCCACAGUGACUACCACUGUACCUCAAUGUUUUAUUAAAACAGUCUGGGCUCUGUCAAAACAACCACUUCUGUACAGUUUUAUGGAGGGCGGGCACUUUGCUGGGACGUCCCGCAGAGGAAUGCCCAACACGAGACCUGCAAGAUGCAGAAGCGCUACGAAAAAGGGCUUCGUGUACUUCAGCUACUUCAAAGAGGGACACAGAAUGUAUUCUCAGAGUCGAAAUAAAAACACUACAGUAUACAAAAUUACGCUUGCUGUACAAGAGUUGUUAUAGUGCUUGUAUAAAAGAUAAUAAAACCUAUUCAAGCCUG